rnacentral:rRNA from 1 species
AUUGAACGCUGGCGGCAGGCCUAACACAUGCAAGUCGAGCGGAGCGGCGGACGGGGGAGUAAGGCCUAGGAAUCUGCCUGGUAGUGGGGGAUAACGUCCGGAAACGGGCGCUAAUACCGCAGACUAUCAGCGUAGCCUAGGUCGGAAUAGCUAGUUGGUGGGGUAAAGGCCUACCAAGGCGACGAUCCGUAACUGGUCUGAGAGGAUGAUCAGUCACACUGGAACUGGAAAACGGUCCAGACACCUACGGGAGGCAGCAGUGGGGAAUAUUGCACAAUGGGCGAAAGCCUGAUCCAGCCAUGCCGGGUGUGUGAAGAAGGUCUUCGGAUUGUAAAGCACUGUAAGUUGGGAGGCGUUACCAACAGAAUAAGCACCGGCUAACUUCGUGCCAGCAGCCGCGGUAAUUC